rnacentral:lncRNA from 1 species
UAUAUGUUGCAAAGAGUCUUCUAUGCUUCUGCUGGUCCUUUGCAAGAGAUGAUGUGAAAAAAGUUGGCUUCAUCCAAAUUAGUGGCAAUCAUGCCAAAAGCCUUCUUGUGAAGUCCUUCCUCUCUUUAGCAUCAGCAUGCGUGCUUGGAGGCUCUUCACUUUCAUCUACAAUGUUCCAAAGGUCCAAAGAUUCCAACAAAAGCUCCAUUUUGACCUUCCAAUGGUAGAAAUUGUCACCUCUAAACUUCUCAAUCACUCUCAAACCUUCACCCUCACUUGAAGCCAUGUCUUAGAAGAGGUCUAUCAAAAAAUAUCAAGAAAAAAAGUCU